rnacentral:rRNA from 1 species
UACGUAGGGUCCGAGCGUUGUCCGGAAUUACUGGGCGUAAAGCGCGCGCAGGCGGCCCGCGAGGUGUCACGUGAAAGCCCCGGGCUCAACCCGGGAGGGUCGUGGCAAACCGGCGGGCUUGAGGCCGGUAGAGGUGGGUGGAACUCCUGGUGGAGUGGUGAAAUGCGUAGAGAUCAGGAAGAACACCCGUGGCGAAGGCGGCGAUCUGGGUAGAUACUGACGCUGAGGUGCGAAAGCGUGGGGAGCGAACAGG